rnacentral:rRNA from 1 species
UACGUAGGGUGCAAGCGUUGUCCGGAAUUAUUGGGCGUAAAGAGCUCGUAGGCGGUUUGUCGCGUCUGCUGUGAAAAUCCAGGGCUUAACCCUGGACCUGCAGUGGGUACGGGCAGACUGGAGUGCGGUAGGGGAGAUCGGAAUUCCUGGUGUAGCGGUGAAAUGCGCAGAUAUCAGGAGGAACACCAAUGGCGAAGGCAGCUCGCUGGAACGGUACUGACGCUGAGGCGCGAAAGCGUGGGGAGCGAACAGG